rnacentral:rRNA from 1 species
UGAGCAAUCUGCCCUUCACAUCGGAAUAACCAUUGGAAACGAUGGCUAAUACCGAAUAUGACUUCGGAUCGCAUGAUCUGAAGUGGAAAGCUCCGGCGGUGAAGGAUGAGCUCGCGGCCUAUCAGCUUGUUGGUGGGGUAACGGCCCACCAAGGCGACGACGGGUAGCCGGCCUGAGAGGGCGACCGGCCACACUGGGACUGAGACACGGCCCAGACUCCUAGGAGG